AUGACACACGACUGAUUUGCAUCAUUAGAGAUCCUUGCUGAUGGAUAAACUGCUUUGCAUCUAAAUGAGCCCUAACCUGAACAGCAGCUCAACUGGUGCAUGUGAAGGAUUUACAGUGCUGGCUAGUGGGAAGUUUUAAAUCAUCACAUGAGCACAAAGGAGAGAAGCUGUCAGGAGAACAUGUGUGAUGGGAGAUUUUCACUCUGCUGCAGACCUUCAUUGCCUCCCUGGCUCUGCUUUUUGCACAUCACAGCACCUACCUCUGGGAAAGAUGAAGCUGAGAACCAAGAGCCAUCCAGCACAGAGCCCCAGACACACUGGAGCAUCCAUGAUAUGAUCUGAGAAGACCCCACACUAGCUUCUAAAUUGUCUGUGGAGUGGGACCUGGUGGAGUGAGGCACAGCAAAGGUUUUUGACUGAAACAAUAAGAGCUGACAGGACUGCUCGUGUCUGAGGAGCUGAGAAAAGCCCGUGGUGCUGUCCCUGUUCCUGUACAACAUGCUCUGCGGCUCCUGCUGUUUAAUCUCUGUCCAUCCCCACCUGAGCGGGUGCCAGAGGAGAACCUGCUGCACCCCUGGGAGCCCCAGCCAGCAGGAUGCAGCAGGGCAGCUCCGUCAAUAUUGACUUUACUGCAGGCUUUGGUGUGCAGCGAUGGUUAUCUUGUUCACCGGGUAGGAUUUCGCCCAUUAGUACAAGUGUCUUUGAAGCCAUUAAAUACACAAAAUGGAUGGACUUGAAAAGUGGGGGGUCCUUUCAAAUGGGGGCAUGUUAUCAGCCCAUACAGGUUAUAAAGACCAAGGCCUGUUCUUAGGGCUGCAUACUGGGCAACAACUGUAAAUGGGACUUUUACGGGGUGAUCUCUGUCUGCCACGCUUGUUGGCUUGCCAUAUAGCUCUCCCUUGCAUCGUUGGCACAGCACUUGGCAGGGUUUUCUUCUCUUGGUUUUCAGGGUUUUCUUUUUCUAGGUGCACCUGUGCAGCCCUGCUUUCCUGGCUCUGGCAUUAGACUGGCUGAAAACUUUCCACCCAUGCAUGUUUGCUCAAUGGGAAGGAGCGUUUUGCACAGCAUGAAAUUUUCCAUUGUAUUCAUGAUCAGUUCUGGGCAAACUCACUCAAGGUAAGAAAAAAAAAUCUGGUCCAUGAGAGCUGACUCCACAAGCACCCCAGGGCAGAGACAGCCCCGGUCCUUGCUCUGGGCAGGAGUGCUGCCAGCAAGGGGUGGCACAGCCUGACCUUGCGAGCCUGCCCACAGAGGCAUGCUGCUCUGGGGAACGGAGUUGUGCUGGCCUGGGUCACGCCAGCUGGAAUUUCAGGAGACAGCACAGCGAAGGUCUGACCUGCUGUGUGCAAAGCCCUGGUCACUUUCCCCAGCUGUGAGUGGGAAGCUCCCAGUUAGCAGGAUUUCCUCCCCUCUGCACA